rnacentral:lncRNA from 1 species
GUUGUAGGAGGAGCUGUUGGACUGGCGUUUGAACUUCCUGAGGCGAUUGACAACUGGAAAGAGCUGAUCAAGAAUAAUCAUGUGACUGAAGCGAGCCAAUCACUGAGAGAUACAGCUAAGGCCAUUGAAAAGAUCUGCCAGACACUGAGGGAACAGUUCGACAACAUGAAGUAAGAAGUUUUCUGUGAUUGUCCACCUAGAUUCUCUCCUCCUGUAGAUCUGAGAACAGCAGCUGGACUCAUUUAGAUUCAUGUUACUUCAAAUACUGACUGCUUGUCCUGCUGGAAAACCCAUCCAAAGAAACUUUACUUUACUGUCCACCUGUAUAGUCAGACCACUGACUAUACAGGUGGACACCGAUACAGACUUUAUCAGGUAUCGACCGUGUCAGGAUAUUCAGGCUUCAUUUUUGUACAGUGGGAGGAAGUGGAGACGUCCAUCUUUUAUAUGUAGAUGAGCCAUACUCAUACAUACUCAUAUUUUUACUAGAAAAUGGAUAAAUCUGUAGCAAGACCUACAAAAAGUUUUCAACAUGACAAAUAAUCACUUCCAGACACUGAAGCUAACAACAUGCUCGCUAGCAGAUUCACAGACGAUUUCAUUGGACACAUUUUGACAGGGGAUGGAACGGUUGACAACGUUGCUUUCAGUUGGGUUCAAACCUUUCUAUCUCUAAUUUUGAUACAGGUCAUUACUUCCCAACAUUUACAUGAACAUCGUUUCAGGGUAAAAUGUUUGCUCGCAACCACUGAUGUUGAUUUAUGCUAACUGUCAUUUCAUUUGUUUUAUUCACAGAAAGAUGUUACAAGAGAUGGACAAAAGACAACAAGAAGAAGAGGAGAAGGCUAAAAGACGACAAGAAGAAGAGAAGAAGGCUAAAAGACGACGAGAGGAAGAGGAGAAGGCUAAAAGACGACAAGAAGAAGUUGAUCAAACAAAUCAAAAUAAAGAGACAGAAAGUGGUCAGCAGGGAGGGGGUGAUCAGGGAGAUAAGGAGAGUGAUAGGGACGAUGAGGAGAGUGAUCAGGAGGAUGAGGAGAGUGAUUGUGAAGAUGAGGAGAGUGAUCAGGAGGAUGAGGAGAGUGAUUGUGAAGAUGAGGAGAGUGAUCAGGAGGAUGAGGAGAGUGAUUGUGAAGAUGAGGAGAGUGAUCAGGAGGAUGAGGAGAGUGAUUGUGAAGAUGAGGAGAGUGAUCAGGAGGAUGAGGAGAGUGAUUGUGAAGAUGAGGAGAGUGAUCAGGAGACGGAUAGUGAGGAAGAGACAGAGGAAGAUGAACGCAAGCAGACUGGUAGAAAAAGGACAAAGCGCCAUCGAAAGAAGGGCACUCGAAGUAAACAAAGAGGAGACAGUGAGGACAGUUGUAUUGACCAAGACCAGAGAACCAUCCAGACACCUCCUGGAACUAUAAGAGGGGCGCUACUCAAUGUUUGUUCACUGGAAAAGAAACGAGACCCUGAAAAAAAAAAAAAAGAUCUUAAAGCUCAUACCAAAAAACAACCUGGACCUCUUUCUCACAACAGAGACGUUGUUACGAGAAGACAAUGCAGACUCAGUCCUCAGGGAGGUUUCACCACCGAAUUACACUACAGAUUAUCAGUUCUGCAUCAUGAUGAGUGGAACCAGCCGGUCCCUGUCAUCAAUGUGUAUCACCCACCGGGGUACAACAGGGACCAGUUCCGUACAUUUCUGGAUGAGUUUGAAACGCUCUUGGCUCAUUUCAACAACUACAACAGCAUCAUUGUGACUGGAGAUUUCAAUAUCUGGGUCGAUCAGGAAAGGAGGUCUUUCACUGAUGAGUUUUAUCAUAUUUGGCCGAUCUACAACCUCGAGCAGCAUGUACGGGAGCCAACACACCGGGCAGGUCACACUCUGGAUCUCGUCCUCACCAGAAAUGUUGAAAUCUCUGAUCUUGUUGUCCGAGAUGAUGGAAUAUCAGAUCAUUACACCGUAUAUUUCAAUGCAAAGCCAGUGUCAAAGGAGAGUCAGGAGAAAACUAAAGAAAACAAGGAUCAAGACGAGCAGCCAAAACGAUUGAAAAAGAGCGAAGCUGAGCAGAGACGAGGCUAA